rnacentral:rRNA from 1 species
CGUGCUUAACACAUGCAAGUCGAACGAGAGGACAAGAGAAGCUUGCUUCUUUUGGAAUCGAGUGGCAAACGGGUGAGUAACACGUAAACAACCUGCCUUCAGGAUGGGGACAACAGACGGAAACGACUGCUAAUACCGAAUACGCUUGGGAGACCGCAUGAUCUUCCAAGGAAAGGGUGGCCUCUACUUGUAAGCUAUCGCCUGAAGAGGGGUUUGCGUCUGAUUAGGCAGUUGGUGAGGUAACGGCCCACCAAACCUACGAUCAGUAGCCGGUCUGAGAGGAUGAACGGCCACACUGGAACUGAGACACGGUCCAGACUCCUACGGGAGGCAGCAGUGGGGAAUCUUCCGCAAUGGGCGAAAGCCUGACGGAGCAACGCCGCGUGAGUGAUGACGGCCUUCGGGUUGUAAAACUCUGUGAUCCGGGACGAAAAGGCAGAGUGCGAAGAACAAACUGCAUUGACGGUACCGGAAAAGCAAGCCACGGCUAACUACGUG